AGCAGCCGCGGUAAUUCCAGCUCCAAUAGCGUAUAUUAAAGUUGUUGCAGUUAAAAAGCUCGUAGUUGAAUUUCGGGAUCAAUAUGUCGGUCGUGCCUUCGGUACGUACUGGUAUCAUUGGUCUCUCCUUUCUGACGAACCAUGAUGUCAUUAAUUUGGUGUUAUGGGGAGUUAGGACUGUUACUUUAGAAAAAAUUAGAGUAGUUUAAAGCAAGCUAACGCUUGAAUACAUUAGCAUGGAAUAAUGAAAUAGGACGUUCGAUCCUAUUUUGUUGGUUUCUAGGAUUGACGUAAUGAUUAAUAGGGAUAGUUGGGGGC
rnacentral:rRNA from 1 species